AUGAAACAGCCCAUUUCUUUAUUGUCCAAAAUCAAAUUAAAGCUGGCUCUGUCUUCUCCCACUCAGGGGGGUGUGAAGUACCACCUCAGACACAAUUGGGGGACCACUCCUCACUUCUCGGGGUUCUGCAGCCCAGGAGGAUGGGGAAGAUUGUUGGAAUUUGGACCACCUCGGGUCUGCAGAGUGGAGAAGCCAACAGCUGAGGCCUGCAGGAGCCAGGCUUCCACUGCUGCCGAGACUGCCUCUCUGGCAACCACACUCCUCCUGGCCUUUAGCAUCUGUCCCCUCAGGGUCUGCGGGGGCUUGGACCUCCCUGGAAGUUGUGAUCCCCGCGAUUCUCCCUCACUGAGUCCCUCCAUGUGUCUCCUCCAGCUUCAAGUCAUACCCAACCCUUCUCCCCACCCCUCAACCCCCACCAUCCUCCAUGCCGGGCCCCAGGGCACAGAGGCAAGUGUUGCAUGGUUCAGCAGUUCCCAGACCCUAGGUCCACAACGGCCCCUGUGGACUGUUCCUGGAGCCUUCCAGGCCCCAAGGAUGACCAGCAAGCUCUACCCUUCUAAAAUAGAAAACAAAAGGUUGAAUUUUUACCUCUUGCUAAUUAUAGUCUCAAAAAAAGUCCUUCAGUUACCCAGUUACAAAAACCACAGCAUGUCAAAGCUGGAAGAGAUGGUAAAGAUCAUCUCUAGGGCAGUCCUCUCACUUUACAGAAGACAAAUCAGGACCAGAGGUCUAGGGAGUUGGCCAAGGUCACUAAGACAGGCGCAAGAAGGAACAAGAACUAGAACUCAAAUCUCUCUCCUCUGUACCACAAUUGCUCAAAAAGAAAAAACAAACCAAAAAAAAACCCACCUCUGGCUCAAAAUAACACAUGCUCGUGUAGCCAGAAAUGGUGAACAACCUGGUCUACCUCCUGCUGGCUUCCGCAGUAAGGCAGUUAUGAACCCACAAGAUGUACCUGUCACUAUGACACGUGUGCGCAUUGACUCUGUUGAAAAGGCUCUCCUUCCAAAUAAAUGA
rnacentral:lncRNA from 1 species